GACGAACGCUGGCGGCGUGCUUAACACAUGCAAGUCGAACGGAAAGGCCCUGCUUUUGUGGGGUGCUCGAGUGGCGAACGGGUGAGUAACACGUGAGUAACCUGCCCUUGACUUUGGGAUAACUUCAGGAAACUGGGGCUAAUACCGGAUAGGAGCUCCUGCUGCAUGGUGGGGGUUGGAAAGUUUCGGCGGUUGGGGAUGGACUCGCGGCUUAUCAGCUUGUUGGUGGGGUAGUGGCUUACCAAGGCUUUGACGGGUAGCCGGCCUGAGAGGGUGACCGGCCACAUUGGGACUGAGUUACGGCCCAGACGCCUACGGGAGGCAGCAGUGGGGAAUAUUGCACAAUGGGCGGAAGCCUGAUGCAGCAACGCCGCGUGCGGGAUGACGGCCUUCGGGUUGUAAACCGCUUUCGCCUGUGACGAAGCGUGAGUGACGGUAAUGGGUAAAGAAGCACCGGCUAACUACGUG
rnacentral:rRNA from 1 species